rnacentral:rRNA from 1 species
AGUGAACGCUGGCGGUAGGCCUAACACAUGCAAGUCGAACGGCAGCACAGUAAGAGCUUGCUCUUACGGGUGGCGAGUGGCGGACGGGUGAGGAAUACAUCGGAAUCUACUUUUUCGUGGGGGAUAACGUAGGGAAACUUACGCUAAUACUGCAUACGACCUACGGGUGAAAGCAGGGGAUCUUCGGACCUUGCGCGAUUGAAUGAGCCGAUGUCGGAUUAGCUAGUUGGCGGGGUAAAGGCCCACCAAGGCGACGAUCCGUAGCUGGUCUGAGAGGAUGAUCAGCGACACUGGAACUGAGACACGGUCCAGACUCCUACGGGAGGCAGCAGUGGGGAAUAUUGGACAAUGGGCGCAAGCCUGAUCCAGCCAUACCGCGUGGGUGAAGAAGGCCUUCGGGUUGUAAAGCCCUUUUGUUGGGAAAGAAAAGCAGCAGGUUAAUACCCCGCUGUUCUGACGGUACCCAAAGAAUAAGCACCGGCUAACUUCGUG